AGGAUGAACGCUGGCGGCGUGCUUAACACAUGCAAGUCGAACGAUGAAGCAGAGCUUGCUCUGUGGAUUAGUGGCGAACGGGUGAGUAACACGUGAGUAACCUGCCCUUGACUCUGGAAUAAGCGUUGGAAACGACGUCUAAUACCGGAUACGAGCUUCCGCCGCAUGGUGAGGAGCCGUAAGAAUUACGGUUCGAAGGAAGUGGACGUCGCGGCCGUACUCAGGUAGUUGGUUGGAGGUAAGUAGGCGUCACCAAGACCUACCGACGGGUAGGCCGGCCGUCGAGGAGGGUGACCGGCCACGACUGGAACGUAGAGACGAACGGUCCGACGACUACCGUACGGGAGGCAGCGAGUGGGGAAGUAUUGGC
rnacentral:rRNA from 1 species